rnacentral:misc_RNA from 1 species
AACGCACCUUGCACCCCUUGGCAUUCCGAGGGGUACACCCGUUUGAGUGUCGUGAAAUCAUCAAUGAUCCUUUUCUUGAUCCAUUUUGGUUGGGAAAGGAUUUUUGGACUUGGAGGUUCCAUGCUUGCUUUCUUUUUUUGAAAGUGGGCUCCUCUCAAAUGAAUUAGUGGGGUUCGCUUUGCUGAUCCUUGACGUGAUAAACUGUUUCUACGUUUUGGACUUAGCACUGUGCUUUGGGAUGCCUGCUCCUAACUGUCCCCUGGACAAACGAUGGUGCCUCUGGUCACCGCCAAUCCACAUUGGCGGGUAGGCUGGACCCACAAUAAAAAACCCUUGACCUCAAAUCGGGUGAGACUACCCGCUGAACUUAA